GGGGGAGUGGCGGAAUGGUAGACGCGCAUGCCUUAGGAGCAUGUGGCUGCGGCCGUGCGAGUUCGAAUCCCGCCUCACCACCA
rnacentral:tRNA from 1 species